GAUGAACGCUAGCGGCAGGCCUAACACAUGCAAGUCGAGGGGUAGAAGCUUUCGGGCUUUGAGACCGGCGCACGGGUGCGUAACGCGUAUGCAAUCUGCCUUGUACUGAGGGAUAGCCCAGAGAAAUUUGGAUUAACACCUCAUAGUAUUUUAGUGUGGCAUCACAUUAUUAUUAAAGGUUACGGUACAAGAUGAGCAUGCGUCCCAUUAGCUAGUUGGUAUGGUAACGGCAUACCAAGGCUACGAUGGGUAGGGGUCCGGAGAGGGAGAUCCCCCCAACUGGUACUGAGGCACGGACCAGACUGCUACGGGAGGCAGCAGUGGGGAAUAUUGGUCAAUGGUCGCAAGACUGAACCAGCCAUGCCGCGUGCAGGAUGAAGCAUCUAUGGUGUGUAAACUGCUUUUGUACGGGAAGAAACACCGCUACGUGUAGCGGCUUGACGGUACCGUAAGAAUAAGGAUCGGCUAACUCCGUGCCAGCCGCCGCCGUAAAAC
rnacentral:rRNA from 1 species